UCUAAUAUGGCAGAUUAGUGCAAUGAAUUUAAGCUUCAUAUAUUAAAGGUGUUCCUUUUAUUAGAA
rnacentral:tRNA from 1 species